rnacentral:rRNA from 1 species
UACGUAGGGGGCCAGCGUUGUCCGGAAUCAUUGGGCGUAAAGCGCGCGUAGGCGGUCAGGUAAGUCCGGUGUGAAAGUCAAAGGCUCAACCUUUGAAUGCCGCUGGAAACUGCCUGACUUGAGUCCGGUAGGGGCGAGUGGAAUUCCAGGUGUAGCGGUGAAAUGCGUAGAUAUCUGGAGGAACACCGGUGGCGAAGGCGGCAUCCUGGACCGGCAUUGACGCUGAACAGCGAAAGCCAGGGAG